rnacentral:rRNA from 1 species
CGGAGGGAUCAUUACUGAGUUACCGCUCUAUAACCCUUUGUGAACAUACCUACAACUGUUGCUUCGGCGGGUAGGCCGUCCCCUGAAAAGGACGCCUCCCGGCCCGGACCGGACCCCCCGCGGGACCGGACCCGGCGCCCGCCGGAGGAUAACCAAACUCUAUUGUAACGACGUUUCUUCUGAGUGGCAUAAGCAAAAUAAUCAAAACUUUUAACAACGGAUCUCUUGGUUCUGGCAUCGAUGAAGAACGCAGCGAAAUGCGAUAAGUAAUGUGAAUUGCAGAAUUCAGUGAAUCAUCGAAUCUUUGAACGCACAUUGCGCCCGCCAGCAUUCUGGCGGGCAUGCCUGUUCGAGCGUCAUUUCAACCCUCAAGCUCUGCUUGGUGUUGGGGCUCUACGGUCGACGUAGGCCCUCAAAGGUAGUGGCGGACCCUCCCGGAGCCUCCUUUGCGUAGUAACAUUUCGUCUCGCACUGGGAUCCGGAGGGACUCUUGCCGUAAAACCCCCCAAUUUUCCAAAGGUGACCUCGGAUCA